UACUCAUGUAAAUCGUCAAGUGCCAAUGA
rnacentral:piRNA from 1 species